UACGGGGGGGGUAAGCGUUGUUCGGAAUUACGUGGCGUAAAGGGCUCGUAGGCGGCCAACUAAGUCGGACGUGAAAUCCCUCAGCUUAACUGGGGAACUGCGUCCGAUACUGGAUGGCUUGGAUUUGGGAGAGGGAUGCGGAAUUCCAGGUGUAGCGGUGAAAUGCGCAGAUAUCAGGAGGAACACCGGUGGCGAAGGCGGAUCUCUGGGCCUUACCUGACGCUCAGGCGCGAAAGCUAGGGGAGCGAACAGG
rnacentral:rRNA from 1 species